CCUACGGGUGGCAGCAGUGGGGAAUAUUGGGCAAUGGGCGCAAGCCUGACCCAGCAACGCCGCGUGAAGGAAGAAGGCUUUCGGGUUGUAAACUUCUUUUCUGAGGGACGAAGAAAGUGACGGUACCUCAGGAAUAAGCCACGGCUAACUACGUGCCAGCAGCCGCGGUAAUACGUAGGUGGCAAGCGUUAUCCGGAUUUAGUGGGUGUAAAGGGGGUGUAGGGGGGAAAGCAAGUCAGUUGUGAAAACGCAGGGCUCAACCCUGAGACUGCUAUUGAAACUGUUUUUCUUGAGUGCUGGAGAGGCAAUCGGAAGUCCGUGUGUAGCGGUGAAAUGCGUAGAUAUACGGAGGAACACCAGUGGCGAAGGCGGAUUGCUGGACAGUAACUGACGCUGAGGCGCGAAAGCGUGGGGAGCAAACAGGAUUAGAUACCCGAGUAGUC
rnacentral:rRNA from 1 species